rnacentral:rRNA from 1 species
GUGGGGAAUCUUCCGCAAUGGACGAAAGUCUGACGGAGCGACGCCGCGUGAGUGAAGAAGGCCUUCGGGUCGUAAAGCUCUGUCAUCAGGGACGAACGGCCGGUGGAGUGGAAAGCCACCGGAUUGACGGUACCUGAGAAGGAAGCCACGGCUAACUACGUGCCAGCAGCCGCGGUAAUACGUAGGUGGCAAGCGUUGUCCGGAAUUAUUGGUCGUCAAGCGCGCGCAGGUGGGAUCUUAAGUCCAUUUUGAACGUUCGGAGCUCAACUCCGUGAUGGGAUGGAAACUGGGAUUCGUGAGUACCGGAGAGGAAAGCGGAAUUCCCCGUGUAGCGGUGAAAUGCGGAGAUAUGGGGAGGAACACCAGUGGCGAAGGCGGCUUUCUGGACGGUGUCUGACACUAAGGCGCGAAAGCUAGGGGAGCGAACGGGAUUAGAAACCCGGGUAGUCC